UGUCGAAUAUGUUUAGUGCGAUACGGUCGUUCGAUCUGACACGUACUACCUGCGAGCUGUCGUGCGAUUGUACGAGCUCCGAGCACAACGCAAUUAUCAGGUUUCACGUUUGUAUGAAGAUGCAUCGUUGUAAAAGACGUGUCCGUAAAAGAAAGACACCCAACAGAAAAUGUUGAAAUUACCAGAUAACUUUAUACUACCAAUACCAUUCGCAGCCAUUGUGAACGUAGCUUUAAAAGUAUAAACGCCAAGUAUCUUUUCAAGUCAGCGUUCACUCAGAAGCAGUUUUCAGUUUCAAGAAAUUGACCGUCGUCAGAAGAUCGAGAAGCCCGUGACUUGCAUUUGAACUUCGUCUCGUCUGUUUCUCUCUUCGACCCGAACCACUUCAUCCGAAUAACAUGUACAGCCAAAUAGCCAGCUGCUUACCGAGAAGACCGUGUCCUGAUGAAUUUCACGAAUCGUCCGCCGAUCGAAUUGAUUUUCUUUCUUUUUCAAAAGUAAUCGGCAAUUUCCAGCAGGAAUAUCGGGUCAAGAUUUUUUAAAGGGCGCGAAGCAAUUAAAUGGUCCGUGCUUAAUUGAUCAUUCGACCGCGUUCCUCUCAUCGAUGGAGAAUAGUAGCCAAUGGCAAGUUUCUUCGAUUCGCUUAAAAUUUUCGUCGGAUUAUUCGCGACCUGUUGGGAAAAACGCGCCAAUUUCUUCUUUGUUAGCUUCUUCUGCUCUCGGAAACAACGAAACGCGCUAAUAUCUGUGGAAACGAGUGUGAGCGAGCGUGGCUCGUCCGGAUAUUACGUCUCGAUCUGGCGUCCGAUUUUCCGAUUUUCCCACCGAUAAUCAGUGUAUUAGGAUAAUUAAAGGAUCCGCAGUCGGUUCUUCCUCGCUGAUACGCCGCGACGAUCUCCAGCCACGAGUUGCCGGGCUCAUUAAUGUUGCGCGUAUCGGCCAGGAAGAGAAAGGACGGAACGACGAAAGUGGGUCACGUUUAGACAUCGCCACCGCGGAAAUUCAUAUGGUUACUAUACUAAUUCCUCUACACUACGCGGAAUUAUCAUACGGCUCUACGUAUCGUUUAGCUAUGGCUACGGAUAGUGUCACGUGGGAGACAC